UACGUAGGGUGCAAGCGUUGUCCGGAAUUAUUGGGCGUAAAGAGCUCGUAGGCGGUUUGUCGCGUCUGCUGUGAAAACUGGAGGCUCAACCUCCAGCCUGCAGUGGGGUACGGGCAGACUAGAGUGUGGUAGGGGGAGACUGGAAUUCCUGGUGUAGCGGUGAAAUGCGCGAGAUAUCAGGAGGAACACCGAUGGGCGAAGGCAGGUCUCUGGGCCACUACUGAC
rnacentral:rRNA from 1 species